AAAAUUUAAAAUAAUUUAACAAAUUAACUGACAAAAGAACCGAAGGAUUAGAAAAGGCUGUUGAGGCCGUAGAAUACGCGUUAUUAGUACGUAAGUUAGUACCACGAAUUAAGAUCACAGUAUAUCGAACGAACUAGAAUAGUAAUAGUGAAGCUCGAACCUUUUUAUUUUUGGCAAGGCCACUAACACCAUUUAUCGAAAUCUUUAUGAACUGUUUCAAUAUUUAUUAUAGAAUAUUCUAAUACCGUGAUAGAAUUUAUUACACACUCUACUCCUCCAGACUAAACUUUAAACUGGUUUUAAUUAAUUUGUAUAUCAAUUUUGUCUCAAAAGUGCUAACUGUCUUGCCAAACAGUGAGAAUCGGGCGAACUCGGAAAAACACUGAUAAGAUCUUUCCGUUCGGUAUCCUGUACAUCUUAUUGUGGUUAGUACGUUAGUUUUUAUCAAUAGAAAUAAUUGGAUCCAAACAAUUUAACAGUUCUAUUAAAAACAUAAAUAAUGUCCGUUUAAUAUUAGCUCAUAUUGUAUUGAAGUUUAAGUAGGUACUUACAAACUAAGAUUUGAUCAUUAUAAAACCAGAAAUAAAGGUUCAAGAAUAAGAAAUAACUCAAAUAAGAGUUUUAGCAAUAUAAUAAAAUAUAUUUCAGUUAUUAAAAAGUAAAACUUAAGACAUUUUAAAGGAACUUUAAAUCGCAUUAGCAUGUUCAAACUAAUCACGCGUAAUACCUAUUAUCAAUCUGUCACGGUCGAAUCCCAUAAAAAUGUUAAAAAUAGUCAAUAAUAAAUUCUGGUGUGACAUUAUUGUCUUUGAAACUGUUUUUUAAAUCUAUACCAAUAGUAUAUUAUAGUUGAAUAAAAUCUCGAUCGACGAUAAAACAUUAACACACUGUCUAUUUAAUUGAUUCGUAAUCGAAAAGUUACCUUUUCAGACGAAACAUCAAAGGAGAAAACGCCCAAAAGAAAUUGCAUUUAUUAUUUUUCAUCUGUUUAUUAAUUUCAUUAGUAUCGAGAUGGGAAAUAUCGAAAUAAAAUAAUAAGGAAUUGACACAUUUCUGGUGAUGAAACGCGGACGGAUGCUUUUCGGUCGUAAGUUGAAAAAUAUUUACUUGAAGAUAAUGCAAAACUGCAAUGUAUUAAAUUAUGUAUUAACUAAUUCGACAAAAUUCAUUAAAUUUAAAAAUAAUUAUUGUAUUUGUAUAUGUAUUUUUUUUCAAUUAAAAUUCGGCUUGUAAUUUCAUGUUUUGGCCGUUAAUUAUUUAUUAAUUUAAUAAUCUGACAAUACGAU